UCUUGAACAAAAUUCUUCAAAAAUGAGUAUUACAAAUGAUCUAUCAAUGGUUAUUUAUAGUCUUACAAGCUAUUACAAAAAGUAAACUAAUUUCAAAAGGAAACUAUCUAUAAAAAAGAAACUACCUACUAAAGGCUUUUUGCAAAAUAAAAUAAAAUCAUUUCCAAAAAUAAAUAAAAAAUUAGAAUCUCCAUCCUUAAGAUAACCAAGCAAAAAACUUCACGUGUAAAGGAUUGAAGUAGUCGUCACAUCCCACUGUUUCACAUCCCACAACAAGUCGCGUCCAAGUAAUCCAUCUCAUCUAAAUACCCCAUUGGAACCGACUACUCCAUUGGAACCCAAACAACUUUCGCAUCCAAGUAUCAUUCCGAGAAUUGCAACCGACAAUAUUUUGAGGUUGUUCGCAAUUGGAUCCAUUGCAAGAAUCACAUCAGAUAACACUCUGAGGUUCGCAUCUAGUCAUACCGAUAAUAAGAGACUACGGUUCAUUAUGAUAGUUCAAAAUUGGUCGUAACCAGUCGCAAUUGUUAGAAAUAUGGUAUAGUGGCACUUGGAAAUCUGGGAAUUGUGAUAAUCACUUUCUAAUCGAAGUAUUUGGGUGGUAUUCCCAAAUCCUCAAUUGGAUAAGACUCAGAUUAAAUCAGAGAAAAAUAAAGAGAAAUGAGAAGAUAUGAUUUCGUGAGUACCAGAAGAAAAAAAAAGACCAAAAAACUGAAUUUAGAUCUUUGUCUGAAAACCACCAAAACGGUCAUAAAACGGGUCAACUGAAUAAAAGUCAAAAUUGAGUCAAUAAUUUAAAAAACCGACUACUCCAUUUUUUAUAUAGUAACAUAACCUAUAUAUAGUAACAUAACCUAUAUAAACGGGUCAGCUCGAUCCCAACCAGGGGCUGUGCCCCUUGGACCCCGCUCUCAAAGACGCUGCCCCCGGACCACCGUUCGUUCAGGGGCUUCGCCCUUAAAUGACAGUGUACUUUGAUACUUGAUCAAACUUAAACAAAUGUGUACUCCACACCUUCUUAUUUGUUUAAUAUUUAUCAAGAUCACUUUUGGUCAACAAAGUAAUCUCAUUACACUUAAAUAACAUUGAUAACAAAUCACCAGCAGCAAUCGCAACUGAUAACAAUCCAAGGACCGCAAACUAGUCAUAUGGACCACAAGUAACUGCAACGACUUCCAAUAUUCACAGCUUUUUACAAGUCCAAUGACUUGCAACCAUUCGCAUUUGAUCGCAACCAGUACUCGUAUCAAUGAUAGACGAUAAAUAUAUAAUCAUGAUGAUAUAUCUAGCCUUUUAAUAUGAUAUUUUAGUUUAUAAUUAUAAUGUUUUCCGCAUUUGUCUUUUUAUGCUAAUAAGAUAUGUCUAUCUUAAUUAUAAAAAGAUUGAUGAUACUAAUUUCGUUUCAUAAGUUUCUAUUUGUUUUAAACUUGCUUUUAUAAACCCUACACAAAUCUUACAAUAAAUAAAUAUAAAAAAUAUCAUUACAUUAUUUAAUUGAACAUCACUUGAAUUUAUUGAAUAUGCUGAAAACCGGUAUUAAGAGACCUUUUAAACCUUGUAUAAACAACAAAUAAAAGCGUAAUGGAUGAAAACAAAUUUUGUUUACUAUAUGAAAAUUGUUUUUUUAUAGGUUUGAAAACCUUCGCCCAAACCAGCUCCACUAGCAAAAUACUCACACCGGUAAAAAAACGGUGGUUUAGUUUCAUUCAAACUGGUUUAAAAAUCAGAGCGGUUCUUGUUUUCAAACUAGUUUCGGAUCAUAAACCGGUUUUUGUGUGCACCUCUAUUUUUUAAUAGAACCAGUUAAGUAUUAACCAAUAAAAGUAUAGAACAGUUAACUUGUUUUUUAAAAAGGCUUCACCCGGUCUUUUUAACUGUGCAACCUUAACAAAAAAUUUCACUAGUCCCUUUAGUUUCCAAAAUGGCAUAAACGAUCGGGCCUUUUAUUUUGUGUAUUGGACCAUAUAUUAUAUUACUAGAGAUUUUAUUAAUUGGAUAUUGGCCAGGCCCAGGACAAGGCUCAAAGCUGUUAAGCAGUUAUGAUGCGUUGAUAAUUAAUUUUUUGGAGUUUUGAAAUUUGCAACAGUAUGGGCCUUGAUAUUGAAAUUUUAAAACUAUUUGUGAUGCAAAUGAGCCCAAAACAACCAAGAUAGUUAUCCGCUUUUCACUAUACUUUUGUGUUUCUUUUUAUUUUAUUUUUCCAUAAUCCCAAGGUUCAGAUUAAAUGGUUAUAGUAUUCAUAUAAGUUUUAAAUGAACGCAAAGUGUUAUUAAAUUUCAAUCUUACGGAGAUUUUAUACAUUCAAGAUUGAAUGCUUCGAAGUUUUUAGUUGAUUAGAGGUUAAACGCGAUUACUUACGAACACAUGUUUGUUUUUCUAAUUAUGUUCAAUCCAAUUUAAGUGGGGUGCUGAUCAAAUCAAUGGGGCUAGGUUGUGUUGGAUUCAGGUUCUAUUUGGUUGAAAAUUUUAAUUAUGUUCAAUCAAUCCAAUUUAAUUGAACAUGUCAAGAUUUUCAACACAACUAACGAGGAGUUGACAUGUUUAUAAUUUUUUCAACCUAAUUUCUUUGACAAACUAUUAGAACAAUUUAAUUUUCCAAAAGAAAAAUCUUAAACCUACUUAAAUAAGUUACAAGCUCAAGCUCGGCUCGUAUAAGAAAAAUCCUAAACUUACUUAAAUAAGUUACAAGCUCAAGUUCAAGCUCAAGUUCAGUACAAGAAAUUGAAUUGAGGCAAAAAAAAAAGCCUGAUGUUGUUUAAUUAUUAAAAUGGAAAAAUUGUAUACAAGGCUCGAGCUCAAGCUCGACUCGAUUCAAUUUUCUUGUACCGAGUUCGGCUCGAGCUCGUAAAGAAUUAUACAAGCUCGACUCGGCUCGUUUUUUGUUUGAUGUGCCUAAAUAAGGUCAAGAUCGGCUCGAGCUCGUUAAGAAACUCAUUUAAUAAUACCCUAAAUCUUUAAUUCCUCAAAUAUGUUUUUAUUUUAAAAUAUAAAAAUAAUAAGAAAUCAUAUUAUAUAAAGGCUCGUUUAGGCCCGCAAGCCUAAUCGAGCAUAGUGACAUAGGCUUGAGCUCGAGCUUGUUUAAUAAAUGAGCUUAAUAUUAAGCUCGUGUUCGGCUCUAACUCGUUUAAAAUCGGUUUCAAGUCGAGCUUUUAAUGAGCCGAUUCCGAGUAGCUCACGAGUAGCUUGACUCGUUUGCACUCGUAGACACCACUCCUUACGACCUUAUAGCAAAUACAUGAUUAUUUGCUUCUUUGUUGAGGUUCGACUUUGUGAAACAACAAAGUGAUAACUAGUUAAUUAUAGCGAAUACAUGAUUAUUUGCCUUUUUGUUGGAUAAUUAGAAUAUUACACAUGUAGAAUAAUUAGAAUAUUACACAAUUAGAUGAAAAAUAUAUAUUACAAAAAUAAUUAUAUAUAAAUAAGUUCACAAUAACUUCAUAAAUUAUACAUAAAUAAGUUCACAAUAAUAUAAUUUAGUAAUUUUGGUUAGAGUAUGUGAUGUAUUUUUGUCUUACCCAACCUUUUUAAAAUAUUACAUAUUUUUUUAAUAACCCAACUUAGCAAUUUGGUUGAGAAGAUGAGUUAUUUUUUGCCUGCUCUAUAUUUUUUUUUAUCUAGGUAUAAAUGGAGUCUUUAAGAGAUGACGAUAAAUGAAAUUGAGUCAAGUGUAGUACUAGAGGUACCAUGACUCCGCCAUAAGACAGGUUCAACUAUGUGAAGGUUAGCUGGCUUCACCAUGCCGCUCAACCCACUCUCCUCACAUUUCUCUUAUUUAUACUUAUAUUAUAUACUUCAUUACUUGCACAUUUCCUUUUGUAUCAUAGUUUAUAAUAUUUUUUUCUUGUUAAAUAUUACAGGUUAAGUGUUUUUUAAUAACUUUAUUAAGUUUUAGCUUUGAAAUCAUCAAGGUUGUAGAACCCGCUACUCGGUAUCUGUUCGGCCGACUGUCGAGUAGCGAGUACUCGGGAGUACCUGUUUGGCCGACUGUCGAGUAACGAGUACUCGAAAGUACUCAAGAGUAUUCGGGGAGUACUCAGAUUCGGUAAUUCAUGUAGAAAUAUUUUUAGGGAAAUUAUAUAUGUCAAAAUCUUAAGUUAAAGUCGUAAUUUAAUUGAAAUAUAUAACAAAAUUAGAUACAUGUGAAUACACAAAAACUGAAAAACAUACAAUGGCCUCACAAUAAUUACUAAAACUUUAAGAUAUAUAUGUAGUAUUAAUCACAUAUGAGUGUGUUAAAUAAUAAAUCAUUAAGUAUAUUAUACAUAUUAAUCAUUGAGUUGACCGAGUUUUACAUUACUGGUCCUUUCUGUAAGGGGCCAAUAGGGGAGUACUUGGAUUUUGUAACUCGCAUCGGUAAGGGACCGAGUAAGGAGUACUUGACCGAGUAGUUGGUCAACUCGACGAGUUUUACAACACUGAAAAUCAUGUAAUGCUAAUAUUUGGCUCAUUGAAUAGGUAUGUUAAUAUAUCUUUCUCAACCAUACCAUUACUUUUCAUUUAGUUGUUAAUAUGAAUUCUUGAAUAAUAGGACUUUUGGUAGGGUAAAUAUGAAAUCUAGUCAUCGCUAGGUAAGUAACAUUCUAAAUCACUUGUUUGGUGACUGAUUUAAGAAAUUUGGUAUGUGCAAGGGGUUAAAAUGCAUAUUCAUAAACUUAUUUUUGAAACAAAUUUGUUAUAUUAGAGGAUUUUGUGUUGUAUUGACUUAUAUAACCCACGAAAAAAUAUGUAGAAUACUAGAAGUCAACAGAAAACAACAGUCAAAUAUUAAAGUUUAAUAUUUGGUGGUCAAAUUUUAAUAAACGAGACUUGUGUUUAAAUAGAAUAAGAAGUUGAGUAAAAUACAAAAAUGGUCCAUGUGGUUGGUUGAUUUUUUAAAUAAAUCUUGGUUUUUCAAUUGUAACUUUGAUUGUCAUCAUGGUUUAAUUUGGUAUGGUUUGCGUCUAUAUCUUAUGUUUUUCAAUUAUAUCUUUUACUUUAAAUCUGUAAAAUAAACAUCUCUCCCCGUAAGACUAGCCUAUCAUCAUCAUCAUCUAUUUCUCACAAACUCUCUGCCUCUCUCUCUCUCACACACACACACACACACUAGUUACAUCACCAUUAUCGUCGAUCACCUCUGUCCAAUGCAACAAUCUCAUUUCCUCUCCUUUGUUUCUCAUACCCAUACUUGCUUGUCGCUUCGUCUAGCUGCUCUCAUAAUCUCUCAUCAACGUCUCUUACCAACGCCACCUUUCUUUCCUUUGUGGUCCCAACAUCAAUUUGAUGAUUUUGAGUUGUAUAAACAAGCCCAAAAUUUCACAAUCUAUGAUGGAUGUUUAACAUCUACUUCGGUAACCAUUUUUUCGAUAACUCAUUUAAUGUACGUAUGAGAUAAAAUCGAAUGAGGUAUCAACUACACGAUCCUUACUAGGGAUGUGUUUGGUUCCGAAACAGGCCUGGAACCAAAAUAACAAAAAACAGAAUUCACCAAAGCAUAGAAUUGAUAAAUUGAGCGAUCUUAGGGACAUGUUUCAGUUUAGGUCUUAGCUGGUUAUUUCGGGUAUAAAAUCGGGAAUAACCAAAAUGCAUGGAUUGUAUGCUUUGGAACCGAAAAUAACCGAUAUAGGUAUUGGAACUAAAAAACAAAAACCAUGGAGAUGUUUGGUACAAAAAUGUUUAAAGGGGUUGUUUGGUACUUAUAUCUAAAUGUAGGGAGUUGUUUGGCUAAAUGUAUCAAUGUGAAUGAAGUGAGGUGCAUGGCAUGACAUUCUCGAGGAAUCAAACACAUACCACAGAGGACAAUCAAGAGAGAGAGAGAGAGAGAGAGAGAGAGUUGGUAUGGGAUGACUUGUAAUUGGUGAGUGAGCGCCGAAUCAGGUUAGGGUAAUUGGGAAAGAAGUUGGUUGUGAUGCGUAGGGAUGAGAAUUUGGUCCGGAAAUCCGAACCGAAUUAGGCCGAAAUAAGCAAUUCAAUUCAGUUAGUUCUCAGGUAUCUAUGUUAGGCUUAUUUGGUUUUCGGGUUAUUCGGUCCGAGUUACCCAAAUAAGGGUUUAUUCGAUUCUAAAUACCCGACCCGAAAUUGAAAAAUCAUUUUUUUAAUCAUAUUUUUCUUGCUACACCGAAUGACCUACAUUCAAUCGAUUCGAUCGUGUUUUUCCUUGUCCCUCCUUCUGUGAUUGAGUCGUAUGUUGCUUCAUAACUAUAUCUCAAGAUUUUGGUGUUUGUAUUUUACAUUUUUAUAUCUCAAGAAUAGUUAAUUCGUGUUUACAUUCUUACUACACAAAUUCUAACAUUUUUUUACACAUUUGAAACAAUUAUGUAUAUUUUGCAUUAUUUUUAAUUAACAAAUUUGUUUCUUUAAAAGAUUUGUUAUGGAAUCAUAAGCUAAAAAAAUCAUUAAAAAUACAAUGUUUAUAAUAAUAUUGUAAAUGUUAUUCGGGUUAUAGAAACCUAAUACGGUUUAUUCGGUAUUUUUCGGUUAUAUUAGGUCGUUAAUCAUCUUGUAUAUGUUAUCGGGGUAAUAACUGAACCAAAUCGAUUAAUACCCGAACCGAAUCGAACCCAUAUUGGUUAUUUGGUCUGGUUUUCAGUUCAUGCAAUUACCCUUACUCGGGUUUUUGGUUAUUUAAAUCCGGAUCAGUUCGGUCUAGUCCCGACCCGAAUAACAUCCCUAGUGGUGCGAAAGACGUGGUGGUGAUAGAAAAUGGGGCCAUUAAGUUUUAAAAUUACAAUUACAAUAUCAAAUAAUGGAAAAUAAAGUUAAGGACAAAGUAGUCAUUUUAGAUUUCAUUAGACCAAAACAAAAAUAAAAUAGAUCCGGAGGACAAUCAAGUGUUAUAACUUAUAACUGGAAAAACAGAAUCGGUUAAAAAAAUUCAUUAAAAUGUAGGGUAAAUAGCACAAAAAAACACUCUUUUUACACAGAAAUUCGAUUUUGACAUCGUGUUUUUUUUUUGUCAAUUUUGACACCGUGUUUUCUAAUUUGUUACAAUUCUGACCACUUGACCAGUUAACCAGGUUAUAUGCUGACGUGGCAUGAUAACGUGUCAGUUUUGAUGACGUGGCAUGCUGACAUGAUAUACUGACGUCUCAAAAUUGAAUUUUUUUUCCACAAAAAACACUAAGUUUUCACUUUUUUUCGAUUUUGACACUAUGUUUUUUUUGUUCCAAUCGAACAUCAUUUAUCAAAUUUUGUCUAUUUUCCAUUUGAAAGCGUAUAAAUAUAUAUAUUUUUUAUUACAUUUUAAACCGUAUAAACAUAUUUUUUUCUUUUAAAAACCACAUUUUUAUUUAAAUACAAGGUGUUUUUUUUUUACAUUCAAAGCAUUAGUUAUAUCAUGAGAAUCAAACUUACCAUAAGCUUCUAAUAAGAUGUAAAAAUUUGAUGGAUUGCAAACUUGAUAUCCGAGUUUUGAUCGACUACACGCCUCCAAACCUCCAAACACAUUUUAAAGUUGCAUAUUUAAUAUAAAAUACAAUUUUUAUAUAACUAAUACAUAUUUAUACAUAAAUGAAAAAAAACAUAUUUAUACGGUUUAAAUGUAUUAAAAAAAUAUUUAUACGGUUUCAAAUAAAAAAUUGUCAACAUUGAACAAAAUUGGAAAAAAUGAUGUUCGAUUUGGAACAAAAAAACAUAGUGUCAAAGUUGAAAGAAAAAAUUAAACUUAGUGUCAAAAUCGAAAAAAAUGAAAACCUAGUAUUUUUUGUGAGAAAAAAAUUCAAUUUUGACACGUCAGCAUAUCAUAUCAGCAUGCCACGUCAGCAUAUAACCUGGUUAACCGGUCAAGAGGUCAGAAUUAUAACAAAUUGAAAAACACAGUGUCAAAAUUGACACAAAAAAAAACACGGUGUCAAAAUCGAAUUUCUAUGUAAAAAAAAUGUUUUUUGUGCCAUUUACCCUAAAAUGUAAGGACAAUAUUGUAAUUUACUCUAUUUUAUUUUAAUAUGUACUAACUCAUAUUCUUCACCUAGCGAUGAACAUGGGGCGCAACCGAAACCGAAUCGGUACCGACCCAAGAAUUCCGAAUACAAAAAUGGAUGGAAACUCAGUACCGAGCAGGCGAGCAUAGAACCGAAUUAGGAGUAUUGUGGUAUCGGUCAUGGUACCGAUUUUCAGUACUAGAACCAAAUCGGAGGGGAGAAAAUGUCAACUUUCUCUUAAGGGGCAAAUCUGCCCACUGUCGAAAAUUUUAGUUUUUAUGCUAUCAUCUACAUCAUAAUGUUCGAUUCUUUAUCCUUCUGCUAUUUACAGCCCCAUAUUAAUAUCUAUAAUUUGUAAUUGUGGCUGAGAUAUAUAUGAAGUCAAGUUUGUUGUUAUCUUCAAGUUUAGACAUUACAUUUCAAGUGUAGACAUUACCCAAUUAUGUUGGUUACAAAGUACUGUUUACACUUUGGCCACCCUUACCAAUGGCAUUAUGGCAACCUAGUUUCAUAAAUAGUAAUGUAUUUUUAUAUGCGUAAGUGUGUAAGAUUCAUAAAUAUUAUAGUAUGUUAUCACUGUUAGCAUUCAUCAAUUAAUCAAUAUCAUUUCAUAAUCUCAUAAUCACAUUAUGACAUCUUACACAUGUCAAAAUAUUUAAGCAUAAAAUCAUAAAAUUGCUAGAUGUUACAUACAGUAACAUUAUUCGUACUCAAUUUGUCCAUAUUCAUUUUAUUUGUGAAUAUACCUUAACAAACCCUUGGUAGCAGUUACGAAUAACAAGAUUUAUAGUUGUUUCCGUUGAAAUGCUUUACAUGUUUUCUCUUGUUAAUAAUCAAUUUCGACUAGUUUUUUGUUAAUUUACCAGGUGCAAAACAACAUCAUGGCCUGAUGAUUUGUUAUCGCUAUGAAGUUUGAUUAAGUUUAUCUUUCAGAUGAACAAUUGAAUUUGAAAAACUGAAUCAAAGUGUCAGUUUGAUUUGUUGGCAAAAUGAAAUGAAAGUUUGAAGAUCUGUUGCUUUUGUAUAAAAUUCCGAUAAAAAAUCGACAUCCCUUUAAAGAGUUUGCUUCAUCAAAUAGAACCAAUCCAUAUACACGAACUUGAGAUCUAAAUUUUGUUUAUGAAAUUAUUUUUCAAUAAUGGAGGGAAUCGUACCUUCAAUCACAUGCGAAAACCCUGGUUUCUAGCUUCAAACUUGGAUAGAAACUUGCUUCACCUCAUUUUGUUGUCAAUCUCAAGUUUCAAUUUUUUCAUGAAAUUAUUUCAUUAAUGGAGAGGAAUCUAAAGUUUAUUGUCAUAGAUUCGGUUAUCACUUUCUGUUUUCAAAAUUGAUCAUAUCUCUGAAUCAUGGUUUUAGGAUUCGUUAUAAAAAGUUCUAGCAUUAUUUGAAAGAGAAUAUACAUACAAUGCGGACCACAAUGGACUGUAAGAUUGAAU
rnacentral:lncRNA from 1 species